CAAGUCAAACAUUCAAUGCCGCCAC
rnacentral:siRNA from 1 species